rnacentral:rRNA from 1 species
AAAGUUGUUGCAGUUAAAAAGCUCGUAGUUGGAUUUCGGGACGGCACGGUCGGUCCACCGCAAGGUGUGUCACUGGCCGGGCUGUUCUUCCUCGCAAAGACUGCGUGUGCUCUUAGCUGAGUGUGCGCAGGACUUGCGACGUUUACUUUGAAAAAAUUAGAGUGUUCAAAGCAGGCCAUCGCUUGAAUACAUAAGCAAGGAAUAAUGGAAUAGGACUUUGGUUCUAUUUUGUUGGUUUCUGGAACCGAAGUAAUGAUUAAGAGGGACAGUUGGGGGCAUUCGUAUUUCGUUGUCAGAGGUGAAAUUCUUGGAUUUACGAAAGACGAACUACUGCGAAAGCAUUUGCCAAGAAUGUUUACAUUAAUCAAGAACGAAAGUUAGAGGAUCGAAGACGAUCAGAUACCGUCCUAGUUCUAACAAUAAACGAUGCCGACUAGGGAUCAGAGAGUGUUAUUGGACGACCUCUUUGGCACCUUAUGGGAAACCAAAGUUUUUGGGUUCCG